ensembl:snRNA U6 U6 spliceosomal RNA
GUCCUCACUUCAGCAGCACAAAUACUAAAAUUGGAACAAUUAGCCUGGAGAUUAGCAUGGUCCCUGGGCAAGGAUGACAUGUAAAUUUGUGAAGUGUUCCACAUUUUC